GACGAACGCUGGCGGCGUGCUUAACACAUGCAAGUCGAACGGUAAGGCCCUUCGGGGUACACGAGUGGCGAACGGGUGAGUAACACGUGGGUGAUCUGCCCUGCACUUCGGGAUAAGCCUGGGAAACUGGGUCUAAUACCGGAUAGGACCACUGCCUGCAUGGGUGGUGGUGGAAAGCUUUUGCGGUGUGGGAUGGGCCCGCGGCCUAUCAGCUUGUUGGUGGGGUGAUGGCCUACCAAGGCGACGACGGGUAGCCGGCCGGGGAGGGUGACCGGCCAGACUGGGACUGGGCUACGGCCCAGACUCCUACGGGAGGCGGCGGAGGGGAAUAUGGCACAAGGGGCGCAAGCCUGAUGCAGCGACGCCGCGUGGGGGAUGACGGCCUUCGGGUUGUAAACCUCUUUCAGCACCGACGAAGCGCAAGUGACGGUAGGUGCAGAAGAAGGACCGGCCAACUACGUGCCAGCCGCCGCCGUAA
rnacentral:rRNA from 1 species